UGCGUAGGUGGUUUCUUAAGUCAGAGGUGAAAGGCUACGGCUCAACCGUAGUAAGCCUUUGAAACUGGGAAACUUGAGUGCAGGAGAGGAGAGUGGAAUUUCUAGUGUAGCGGUGAAAUGCGUAGAUAUUAGGAGGAACACCAGUUGCGAAGGCGGCUCUCUGGACUGUAACUGACACUGAGGCACGAAAGCGUGGGGAGCAAACA
rnacentral:rRNA from 1 species